UACGUAGGUGGCAAGCGUUGUUCGGAAUAACUGGGCGUAAAGGAUGCGUAGGCGGUUAAAUAAGUUAUAUGUUAAAUAUAUAGGCUUAACCUGUAGAAAGCAUAUAAAACUGUUUAACUAGAGUGCAGGAGAGGUAAGUGGAAUUCCUAGUGUAGCGGUGAAAUGCGUAGAGAUUAGGAAGAACACCAGUGGCGAAGGCGACUUACUGGACUGUAACUGACGCUGAGGCAUGAGAGCAUGGGGAGCAA
rnacentral:rRNA from 1 species